rnacentral:lncRNA from 1 species
AAGUCUUAAGGCAAUUAUUUAAUGUCUUUUUUAAGUCUUCUUUUUGGCUGUUAUGGGAAACCUCCAUUUUUGAAAACCUAAGUUUUUACAGAAGCACAUGUCUUUAAGUCUCCAGACCAAAAGAAGUCUUACAGUUAAUUUAAUGUUUGCACUUUGAGGUGCAACUUAACAGGGAGGGCCUGAAUAAAAUAAAGAGAGGGGGAUAUUUAAUAUUUUUAGUAAAAUGUUGCUUUUUUCUCAUGC